rnacentral:lncRNA from 1 species
CAUCGAUUUUCCUUAAUUUCGACGUCACGAUUUUCGUCGACGCAAACAGUUUGACAGUUCUCUUCAGCUGAUCUUGUUUGGACUUGAUUUCAACCAAAUUGAACCAGUUGUCGUUGCUGUUGGGCUACUGGAGGAUUUUGACCGAUUGACAGAUUUCGGUUGUCGUGGCUGUGAAGGACGAAGACGGUGGGCCAUGUUCCGGUAUCGGGAAGAAUCGGUCUGCGAUUGAGAAAGCGGAUUGGUGUUUUGCUUUCCGCGGAAGUUGCAUUCCCAAAGGAGAAGGAGUUUCCGAGUGUUGAAUGUGACGGAAACAGAAGGAGGGAGACGGAACAUUCAAGCUCGGGAGUCAAUCACUGUUCCGCUUGAAUAAAAAGGUGGAGGAGGACGAAAUAAUAAACUCCCGCGACGUUUCUAAACAGCCAGAAUUUGUUAAUGGAACCGCUCUGUACAAACAGUUUCCAGAGUGCUUUUUGCUGGACGUGGACCAGCAAGAGGAAAAGGACAAUGAAAAUGCGUUGGUGGUGUUGGACUUCUAGCGGAAUCUCAAAAGUGCAAUUAUCAAAACUCAGUCUUCUUCCUGGAGAUACUUUCGGCCGAGAACAUCCACCGGGUGAAGGCGAUCGAGGUGGACAAACUUCCCACGGGGCAGCACUCGAACAUUGGAAGGGUAGACAAGCAGAACCAUUCCAAAAGUGGUUGGCCAUCGUCGGACCAAAAGGAGUCGGUUUGUAUUUCCUUCUUGUGCAACGGCCAAUCCGUCACUAAGCGAAAUUAAGAAAAGUAUGGCUGCAGUGAUAGUGAAUAUUUCAAAAACAAAGUGCCAGGAGAGUGCAAACUAAUACAAAUGAAUAAAAAUAAUGAAAAACA